CUCAUUACAAUUAACUCCUUUGGUAUGUUCAUUGAGACUAUCUACGUUGGUUUCUACCUUUUCUAUGCACCAAAGAAAGACAGGGUCCAAACUAUAAAAAUGCUCAUGUUAUCAGUGGUUGGUGGAUUUGGUGCAAUAGUCCUAGUUACAGAAUUUCUAUUCAAAGGAGUUGUUCGUGGACAAAUUGUUGGAUGGAUUUGCCUUAUUUUCUCGUUAUGUGUAUUUGUUGCACCCUUAGGCAUCGUGAGACAAGUUAUUAAAACAAAGAGCGUGGAAUACAUGCCAUUACUUCUAUCAAUUUUUCUCACAUUAAGUGCUGUUGUGUGGUUCUUCUAUGGUCUUUUACUAAAAGACAUUAACAUUGCCGCUCCAAAUGUUUUGGGAUUUAUUUUUGGUAUUCUCCAAAUUGUUUUGUAUGUAAUAUACAACAAAAAAGAGAAGGUCAUUCUAAAGGAACAGAAACUUCCAGAAAUACAAAAGGCAGCCGUGAUUGUGUCUGAUGAUAACACAAAUGUUAAUAAGAAGCUUCCAGAACUUACACAAGAACAAAUUAUUGACAUUGUGAGGCUUGCUGGUUUACUAGCUAAUACAGAUAAAGUACAAGUAGCCACGUGUCCACAUGAUCAUGCUAAUUGUGGAGUUAAAGCAACUCCUAAUGUAGAAAACAUGCCUAAGCUGCAAACUGUGGAAGCCAGCUAAUUAAUUAAGAAGUUAAUUAGUAGAAUUUCAUUUGUGGAUUUGGCAUUAAUUUCUUUGUUUUUGCUUUUUAUAAUAGUACUCAUGUGUUAUUAUUUGUAUCUAAACAAGUUAUUUCUAUUUUCUCUAAGUUUUUCUUUGCAUAAUG
rnacentral:misc_RNA from 1 species